rnacentral:rRNA from 1 species
AUGGAGCCGACCUUGAAAUACCACCCUUUAAUGUUUGAUGUUCUAACGUUGACCCGUGAUCCGGGUUGCGGACAGUGUCUGGUGGGUAGUUUGACUGGGGCGGUCUCCUCCUAAAGAGUAACGGAGGAGCACGAAGGUUGGCUAAUCCUGGUCGGACAUCAGGAGGUUAGUGCAAUGGCAUAAGCCAGCUUGACUGCGAGCGUGACGGCGCGAGCAGGUGCGAAAGCAGGUCAUAGUGAUCCGGUGGUUCUGAAUGGAAGGGCCAUCGCUCAACGGAUAAAAGGUACUCCGGGGAUAACAGGCUGAUACCGCCCAAGAGUUCAUAUCGACGGCGGUGUUUGGCACCUCGAUGUCGGCUCAUCACAUCCUGGGGCUGAAGUAGGUCCCAAGGGUAUGGCUGUUCGCCAUUUAAAGUGGUACGCGAGCUGGGUUUAGAACGUCGUGAGACAGUUCGGUCCCUAUCUGCCGUGGGCGCUGGAGAACUGAGGGGGGCUGCUCCUAGUACGAGAGGACCGGAGUGGACGCAUCACUGGUGUUCGGGUUGUCAUGCCAAUGGCACUGCCCGGUAGCUAAAUGCGGAAGAGAUAAGUGCUGAAAGCAUCUAAGCACGAAACUUGCCCCGAGAUGAGUUCUCCCUGACCCUUUAAGGGUCCUGAAGGAACGUUGAAGACGACGACGUUGAUAGGCCGGGUGUGUAAGCGCAGCGAUGCGUUGAGCUAACCGGUACUAAUGAACCGUGAGGCUUAACCUU